AUGGGAAAAACAAUGAAGACACCCAUUGGAGCUUUAAUUGCAUUCUUGUGGCUGCAGCUGGACUGUGUCAGCCUUGGGAACAAGGUGGAGCAGAGUCCUUCCACCCUGAGCAUCCAGGAGGGAAACAGCUGUUUUAUCACCUGUACUUACACAGAUGUUACCUCAAGCUACUUCCCUUGGUAUAAGCAAGAACCUGGAAAAGGUCCCCAGCUCCUUAUAGACAUUCGUUCAAAUAUGGGUAAAAAUGAAGGCCAAAGACUGACUGUUUUAUUGAAUAAGACUGCCAAACAUCUCUCCCUGCACAUCACAACCGUUGAACCUGGAGACUCAGCUGUCUACUUCUGUGCAGCAAGUACACAGUACUUCCCAGGCAUCCACUAUCUGUACCCAAACUUGUAA